rnacentral:tRNA from 2 species
GGGCCGCUAGCUCAUCUGGUAGAGCACUUCAUUUGCAAUGAAGAGGUGGCCGGUUCGAGCCCGGCGCGGUCCACCA